rnacentral:rRNA from 1 species
AGAGUUUUGAUCCUGGCUCAGGAUGAACGCUGGCGGCGUGCCUAACACAUGCAAGUCGAACGGGCUUAACAUGAAACCUAGUGAUUGUUAAGUUAGUGGCGGACGGGUGAGUAACGCGUGGAUAACCUGCCGUAUGCAGGGGGAUAACAGUUGGAAACAGCUGCUAAUACCGCAUAAGCGCACAGUACCGCAUGGUACGGUGUGAAAAGAUUUAUCGGCAUACGAUGGAUCCGCGUCCGAUUAGCCAGUUGGCGGGGUAACGGCCCACCAAAGCGACGAUCGGUAGCCGGCCUGAGAGGGCGGACGGCCACAUUGGGACUGAGACACGGCCCAAACUCCUACGGGAGGCAGCAGUGGGGAAUAUUGCACAAUGGGGGAAACCCUGAUGCGGCGACGCCGCGUGAGUGAAGAAGUAUCUCGGUAUGUAAAGCUCUAUCAGCAGGGAAGAAAAUGACGGUACCUGACUAAGAAGCCCCGGCUAACUACGUG